GCGCAGGUGACGGAAUUGGUAGACGCCGACGCUCAGGCGGAGGGCCUCGUGAGGGGCGUGAGGGUUCGAGUCCCUCUCUGCGCA
rnacentral:tRNA from 1 species